GGGCCAGUAGCUCAGUCUGGCAGAGUGCUCGGUUGGCAAUCGGGAGGUCUCGGGUUCAAAUCCCGACUGGUCCA
rnacentral:tRNA from 1 species